UUUAUUUGGAAUAUAGCUGCAAAUGAAAGGAUCUAUACAUAUAUCGGGAAAGUGACACUUAUUUAGAGAUAGAUUAUCAUUUGAACUUGCAUCGUGAAAUGGAACGUGAUAUAAAAUCGUGACUCGUGUUACUCUUGCUGUGGAUUGAUCCCGUUAUAGAAAAUUGUUACAAAUGCACCGUUACAUUAGACAAUCUUUUUGAAUACUAGAGCGUAGUUUUAAUAAAAAAAAUAAAAAGUCGGCACGUUAGAAACUUUGAGGUGUAAGGUGUACUCGGGUAAUUCCGAACGUCGAAAACCGUCGGAAAAUUCCGAAAUUCAAAUGAUAAUCACCCGUGAUUCCAUAGUAAUAAGGGUCCCUUUUCGGAAUUUGCCGACGGUUUUCGACGUUCGGAAUUACCCGAGUACACCUUACUAAAAGUUAUUAAAAAAUUGUAAUGCGCGCACGGUAGAUAAUAAUGUGUGGGUUUCCAUCGAGGAAGGGUUCUUAUUCUUCAUGUGAAAUAAAUACUAUUUUUUAAAAAUUUCUGUCGAAAUAUUAGAUAAAAAGGAUACUAUUUAACUUAAAGUUUAAAAACCCUUUUGAGAUAGAAAGCCACAAGCAUUCAGGCUCUAAAUGUCUAAAUUAGUAACUUAACGGUGUUAUCGUAUAUUUGUAGCUGAAAGUCGAAAAGCACGUCAGGUAAUAUUAAUCGAAUGUCAAGGUAGCAUUGUAGAGUGCAGUCCAAAUUGAAUUUUACCGUUUACAAAAAUAACCUCAAGAUUUUCAUUUAUAGUUGUAUCGUUAAAGGAUAUCUCAUUUGUGACGUUAUCUGAGUAAAGGGACCUUAUUUUCGAUGGCGCUUACGUCCCUCGGCGUCGUAUUUGUACACGAACAUCGCUCAUAAUGCCGUAAGCGCCAUCGACACUAAGGUCCCUUUACCCAGAUAAUGUCACAUUUGAACAUGCUCACUGAUUUAAAUAUUAAGACAGCACCUACAUUGCAACUAAGUUUUCCUCAACGUUCUGUUUCCUUUAAAUUAUUUUUUUAGUGGAAUCUAACGUGCGAACUAUAUAAAUAAAUAAAUAAUUAGUUAAGUAUUUAUGGGGUUACUAUAGUACGUGUAAUUGUUCUAAUGUCGGAUGUGGAUAAGUGCUUUAGAAUUUCUAAUAUUCUACUAGAUAAUUCUUUGAACACAAUUUUCCAGAGUUGUCUAGUAGAAUGUAAGAGGUCUGUUAUUUAAAUUUUUGACUUAUGGUGCAGAAGUUAGAUACUUUUUUAUUUCGCCGUUCGCAGUUUAAAUAAAAUUAUUAAAUUGGUAGUUUACUUUCAAAAUUCCGAACGCAUUUGCUAAUAAAUAAUGGUUUUUAAUAUAAUUGUAUUCUUUGUGAUUUUAAGCUUGAAAUUAAACACGCAUUUUUAAAUCCACUGCCGAAUUUAUGUACAUUUCGUAAAUUAUAUUCUAAUAAUUUUAUUUAGAACGCGAACGGUAUCUACUGUCCAUUCCAGAAAUCAAAGUUGUUGGAAAAAUGAAUUUUUAUUUUUAAAUAACUUAUUGAAGAAAAAUAUUAACAUAAGUAACUCACAAUCGUCAUAUUUUCUUAUGAAGAAAAUUGUUUACUUGGGUGUUUGGACAAAAAAUGUAUUUAGAGUAUUUUGUUUAAUAUUUUAUAUUAGUCAGCACAUAACCUUGUGGUGAAAUAAUUCAUAAUUUAAACUACCGAACAAAACUGGACUUUUAAUCGUUUUAUAAAAUAAUUCAUUUUAUAUUCAUUGCCAUUUAUUUGUGCAAACAACUCAAGAAUGUAUUUUAUAAGUACAACGCUUAGAUCUGAUGCUAAGGUAAAAUGUUUUUAUGCAGUAAGUUUUUCAAUAAACUAUGACACUGUA